rnacentral:rRNA from 1 species
UACGUAGGUGGCAAGCGUUGUUCGGAAUUAUUGGGCGUAAAGGGCGCGUAGGCGGUGCGGUAAGUCUGUAGUGAAAUCUCUGGGCUCAACUCAGAGUCUGCUGCAGAAACUGCCGUGCUUGAGUGUGGGAGAGGUGAGUGGAAUUCCCGGUGUAGCGGUGAAAUGCGUAGAUAUUAGGAAGAACACCAGUGGCGAAGGCGGCUCACUGGUCCGGUACUGACGCUGAGGUGCGAAAGCGUGGGGAGCAAACAGG